CGAGCGAAACGGGAAGAGCCCAAACCAACAAGCUUGCUUGUUGGGGUUGUAGGACACUCUAUACGGAGUUACAAAGGACGACAUUAGACGAAUCAUCUGGAAAGAUGAAUCAAAGAAGGUAAUAAUCCUGUAGUCGAAAAUGUUGUCUCUCUUGAGUGGAUCCUGAGUACGACGGAGCACGUGAAAUUCCGUCGGAAUCUGGGAGGACCAUCUCCUAAGGCUAAAUACUCUCUAGUGACCGAUAGUGAACCAGUACCGUGAGGGAAAGGUGAAAAGCACCCCGGAAGGGGAGUGAAAUAGAACCUGAAACCGUGUGCUUACAAGUAGUCAGAGCCCGUUAAUGGGUGAUGGCGUGCCUUUUGUAGAAUGAACCGGCGAGUUACGAUUUGAUGCAAGGUUAAGCAGUAAAUGUGGAGCCGUAGCGAAAGCGAGUCUGAAUAGGGCGUUUAGUAUUUGGUCGUAGACCCGAAACCAGGUGAUCUACCCUUGGUCAGGUUGAAGUUCAGGUAACACUGAAUGGAGGACCGAACCGACUUACGUUGAAAAGUGAGCGGAUGAACUGAGGGUAGCGGAGAAAUUCCAAUCGAACCUGGAGAUAGCUGGUUCUCUCCGAAAUAGCUUUAGGGCUAGCCUCAAGUGAUGAUUAUUGGAGGUAGAGCACUGUUUGGACGAGGGGCCCCUCUCGGGUUACCGAAUUCAGACAAACUCCGAAUGCCAAUUAAUUUAACUUGGGAGUCAGAACAUGGGUGAUAAGGUCCGUGUUCGAAAGGGAAACAGCCCAGACCACCAGCUAAGGUCCCAAAAUAUAUGUUAAGUGGAAAAGGAUGUGGCGUUGCCCAGACAACUAGGAUGUUGGCUUAGAAGCAGCCAUCAUUUAAAGAGUGCGUAAUAGCUCACUAGUCGAGUGACACUGCGCCGAAAAUGUACCGGGGCUAAACAUAUUACCGAAGCUGUGGAUUGUCCUUUGGACAAUGGUAGGAGAGCGUUCUAAGG
rnacentral:rRNA from 1 species